rnacentral:tRNA from 1 species
AGGUAGCUCAGUGGAUAGAGUGCUGGACUUGGAGUCAAGAAGACCUGAGUUCAAAUUCAGCCU